GCCGUAAUGUAGGGUAAUGGGUAAGGUGUUGGUCUUGUAACCUAAAGGUCACGGGUUCUAUUCCCUGGUAGGGCA
rnacentral:tRNA from 1 species